CCACGGCUCCACCCCUUCCGUCCCGUCCCCUGGUUGCCGUGGUUACUUCUGUUUCUCUAGUCCUGGCUAGUAUUUGCAACCAUUACAGAUCACUAAUAAGAAAAGUUGAACUUUAAGCAUCAGCUCUGUCGAGUGCUGGGCUAGGAGUUGGGCUACAGCCCUUUGGGACACACCCCGGCGCCCAGGAACAGGCUAGAAAACUCCGACAUAAAUGGUCGUUCAUCCUUGGCUCUGGGACAGGAGAUCUUCGAGACAGUUUUGUGGGUUUUUUUUGUGUGUAGAUAGAGGCAGAGAGAGACGAAAGGGCAGAGAGAGGGGGAGACAGGAUCUGAAGCCCUACGUGCUGACAGCAAGAGAGCCGGAUGCCAGGCUGGAAACCAUGAACCAUAAGAUCAUGUCCUGACCCGAAAUUAAGAGUGUCCAAGGCCGAAUCUGGGACAAAGACAAUGCAGUAGUUCUCCAUCUGAGCAGGAAUGAGAAUCAUGGGGAGGACUGGUUUAAAACAGACUACUAGGUGGAUGGGGAGAUGGGUGAAAUAGGUGAAGGGGAUUAAAAGCACAGUUACUGUGCAGAACACUGAGUAAUGUGGAGAAUUGUUGAAUCACUACAUUGUACACCUGAAACUAACGUAACACUGUUAUACUGGAAUUUCAAAAAUUAAAAAAAAAAAAAAAAAGAUUGCUUGGUGUCUCUCCCAAGUUUUGAUUAUGAUUUAUGUCUCUAACAAAUGCCCAGGUGAUGUUCAUGCUGCUGGUUCGGGAUGACACUUUGAGAAGCACUAUGCUUUAUAACAAAGGUUUUUUGUUUGUUUGUUUUUUUUAAUCCAUAGUAAAACAAAAAGGGACAGAUGUGAGUGUGGAGCUAUUCUUUAGAGAAUCUCUAAUAAUAUAGAAGGGAUAAUGCAAUUAAGUAAUACAUCAUGUCAUUUCUAGUGAGGUGUUGGUUUCAAAGUUAAUAUUAAUGAAUAAUAAAACUAAAGAGAACAGCGCCUUUACAGCAAAGCUUUAUCAGGUGGUUACCACCUUAACCGGAUGAUCAAACACAGUAUCUUCAGUAGUAACAACUAAUAUUUAACUCCAAUAUGCAUACGUUGUACAAAUCACCUAUAUUCUUGGGGAAUGCAUAACCUGAAUUUAACUAUCAAAAAACAAUCAGACAAAAAAAAAAAAAUCAGACAAGAAAUCUAAAAUGAGGGACAUUCUAUAAGACAAAUGGACUAGACAGUUCAUGUCCAUGCCUUGAAAAACAAAAAGCAUGUAUAUGGAAACAAAUUAAUUUUAGUUGGAACCUAAAUUGGAAAAAAAAAGUUUGUAAAACAUUUUGGGACAACGGAGAAAAUUUGAACACACACUGCAUAUUACACAUAGAAGUUGUUAAUUGUCUUAGCAUGAUGAAGAUUGUGGUUAUUUAGGAAAAUGACUGAAUUCUUAGGAGAUGCAUGACCUAGUAUGUUAAGGGGACCUUAUCUUGACAUCUAAAAUUUACUUUGAGGGGCACCUGGAUGGCUCAGUUGGUUAAGUGUCCUACUUCAGCUCAGGUCAUGAUCUCAUGGUUUGUCAGUUCGAGCCCC